CAGUAGCCGCGGUAAUACAGAGGGUGCGAGCGUUAAUCGGAUUUACUGGGCGUAAAGCGUUCGUAGGCGGCUUUUUAAGUCGGAUGUGAAAUCCCUGAGCUUAACUUAGGAAUUGCAUUCGAUACUGGGAAGCUAGAGUAUGGGAGAGGAUGGUAGAAUUCCAGGUGUAGCGGUGAAAUGCGUAGAGAUCUGGAGGAAUACCGAUGGCGAAGGCAGCCAUCUGGCCUAAUACUGACGCUGAGGUACGAAAGCAUGGGGAGCAAACAGGAUUAGAUACCCCGGUAGUCCCUGUCUCUUAUAC
rnacentral:rRNA from 1 species